GGACCCGCACAAGUAGUGGAGCAUGUGGUUUAAUUCGAAGAUACGCGCAGAACCUUACCAACACUUGACAUGUUCGUCGCGACUUUAAGAGAUUAAAGUUUUCGGUUCGGCCGGACGAAACACAGGUGCUGCAUGGCUGUCGUCAGCUCGUGUCGUGAGAUGUUGGGUUAAGUCCCGCAACGAGCGCAACCCUCACUUUUAGUUGCCAUCAUUAAGUUGGGCACUCUGAAAGAACUGCCAGUGAUAAGCUGGAGGAAGGUGGGGAUGACGUCAAGUCCUCAUGGCCCUUACGUGUUGGGCUACACACGUGCUACAAUGGUAUCUACAACAGGAAGCAAAACCGCGAGGUUAAGCAAAUCCUAAAAACCGGGCCCAGUUCAGAUUGUAGGCUGCAACUCGCCUACAUGAAGGAGGAAUCGCUAGUAAUGCCGUAUC
rnacentral:rRNA from 1 species